CCCCUGGUGGUCCAGUGGCUAAGACACUGCACUUGCAGUGCAGGGGACCCAGGUUCAAUCCCUGAUCCGGGGA
rnacentral:tRNA from 1 species